UACAGAGGGGGCAAGCGUUGUUCGGAAUUACUGGGCGUAAAGGGCGCGUAGGCGGCCUGCUAAGUCGAACGUGAAAUCCCCUGGGCUCAACCCAGGAACUGCGUCCGAUACUGGUUGGCUUGAAUCCGGGAGAGGGAUGUGGAAUUCCAGGUGUAGCGGUGAAAUGCGUAGAUAUCUGGAGGAACACCGGUGGCGAAGGCGACAUCCUGGACCGGUAUUGACGCUGAGGUGCGAAAGCGUGGGGAGCAAACAGG
rnacentral:rRNA from 1 species